GCGGCCGCCCGGGCAGGUACUCCCUCCGUCCCAUAAUAUAAGAACAUUUUUGACAGUGUAGUGUCAAAAACAUUCUUAUAUUAUGAGACGGAGGGAGUAUUUCCCAGCUCCUGAAUCAC
rnacentral:pre_miRNA from 1 species